rnacentral:lncRNA from 10 species
AGGCUCUGCCAUCCUCCCUAUGUUACAGAUGGGCUAAGAAGAACGUUUCUCGUAAGGCAGUUGUGAGGAUCACAUGAGGCAAGUGUUACAAGGGACUCAGCACACAGCCUGCGAUGUGGUCAGAGUGCAGUGGAGAUGAGCCACCGCCACUGGGUGGAGCUUGUUGUCAUGGGUUCUGCUUGGUUAUUGCUUUUCUCUGCUUUGACCUCCGCAUGGCCGGGUUACAAGGGCCAUUUUCUGGGCCUUCCCAAACUGAGGGCCUCCAUCCUCAGGUGGUCCUCUCCAUGACCCAACACUGUUCUCUGCAAUGACAGACCACAAGAAUCUCCUUGUCUGGUGGACUCACCAAGAACAAGCCCCCUCCCCAGGUAGAGGUACCUGACUCAGGGACCCUGUUGUCCCGUCCUUCCAAGCACCGCAGGACCCCAGGCUUGCCUGUCCCAGAGCAAGCCACUCCACAGCAGCAGGGCCUUGGAGCAUUUACCUUUACAACAAUAAGCCCAUUUGUGACUUUUUUUUUUUUUUUGGCAGAGUCUCACUUUGUCCCCAAGCUGGAGUGCAGUGGCGCGAUCUCGGCUCAC